UACAGAGGCCCCAAGCGUUACUGAGAAUCACUGGGCUUAAAGGGUGCGUAGGUGGUCCGUUAAGUUCGUUGUGAAAUCCCUGGGCUCAACCCAGGAAAUGCUUCGAAUACUGGCGGACUUGAGGCUAGUAGAGGUCACUGGAACUGACGGUGGAGCGGUGAAAUGCGUAGAUAUCGUCAGGAACGCCGAUGGUGAAGACAGGUGACUGGGCUAGUUCUGACACUGAGGCACGAAAGCGUGGGGAGCGAACGGG
rnacentral:rRNA from 1 species